GAUGAACGCUGGCGGCGUGCUUAACACAUGCAAGUCGAACGGAAAGGCCCAAGCUUGCUUGGGUACUCGAGUGGCGAACGGGUGAGUAACACGUGGGUGAUCUGCCCUGCACUUCGGGAUAAGCCUGGGAAACUGGGACUAAUACCGGAUAGGACCACUUCUUGGAUGUUGUGGUGGAAAGUUUUCUCGGUGUGGGAUGAGCUCGCGGCCUAUCAGCUUGUUGGUGGGGUAAUGGCCUACCAAGGCGUCGACGGGUAGCCGGCCUGAGAGGGUGUACGGCCACAUUGGGACUGAGAUACGGCCCAGACUCCUACGGGAGGCAGCAGUGGGGAAUAUUGCACAAUGGGCGCAGGCCUGAUGCAGCGACGCCGCGUGGGGGAUGACGGCCUUCGGGUUGUAAACUCCUUUCGCUAGGGACGAAGCGUUUUUGUGACGGUACCUGGAGAAGAAGCACCGGCUAACUACGUG
rnacentral:rRNA from 1 species